rnacentral:rRNA from 1 species
GACGAACGCUGGCGGCGUGCUUAACACAUGCAAGUCGAACGGAAAGGCCCUGCUUUUGUGGGGUGCUCGAGUGGCGAACGGGUGAGUAACACGUGAGUAACCUGCCCUUGACUUUGGGAUAACUUCAGGAAACUGGGGCUAAUACCGGAUAGGAGCUCCUGCUGCAUGGUGGGGGUUGGAAAGUUUCGGCGGUUGGGGAUGGACUCGCGGCUUAUCAGCUUGUUGGUGGGGUAGUGGCUUACCAAGGCUUUGACGGGUAGCCGGCCUGGGAGGGUGACCGGCCACAGUGGGACUGGGCUGCGGCCCAGACUCCUACGGGAGGCAGCAGUGGGGAAUAUUUCACACUGGGCGGAAGCCUGAUGCAGCAACGCCGCGUGCGGGAUGACGGCCUUCGGGUUGUAAACCGCUUUCGCCUGUGACGAAGCGUGAGUGACGGUAAUGGGUAAGAAGCACCGGCUAACUACGUG